rnacentral:rRNA from 1 species
GCGACCGGCGCACGGGUGAGUAACACGUAUCCAACCUACCUUUUACUCGGGGAUAACCCUUCGAAAGAAGGACUAAUACCCGAUAGUAUGUAAUUAUCUCAUGAUGAUUCCAUUAAAGGAUUCCGGUAAUCGAUGGGGAUGCGUUUCAUUAGAUUGUUGGUGAGGUAACGGCUCACCAAGUCUUCGAUGAAUAGGGGUUCUGAGAGGAAGGUCCCCCACACUGGUACUGAGACACGGACCAG